rnacentral:rRNA from 1 species
AGCAGCCGCGGUAAUUCCAGCUCCAAUAGCGUAUAUUAAAGUUGUUGCAGUUAAAAAGCUCGUAGUUGAAUUUCGGGAUCAAGUCGUCGGUCGUGCUCAGGUACGUACUGGCGUCAUUGAUUUCUCCCUUCUGACGAACCAUGAUGUCAUUAAUUUGGUGUUAUGGGAAAUCAGGACUGUUACUUUGAAAAAUUAGAGUGUUUAAAGCAGGCUCACGCUUGAAUACAUUAGCAUGGAAUAAUGAAAUAGGACGUUCGAUCCUAUUUUGUUGGUUUUAGGAUCAACGUAAUGAUUAAUAGGGAUAGUUGGGGGCAUUAGUAUUCAAUUGUCAGAGGUGAAAUUCUUGGAUUUAUUGAAGACUAACUACUGCGAAAGCAUUUGCCAAGGAUGUUUUCAUUAAUCAAGAACGAAAGUUAGGGGAUCGAAGACGAUCAGAUACCGUCGUAGUCU